rnacentral:rRNA from 1 species
AGCAGCCGCGGUAAUUCCAGCUCCAAUAGCGUAUAUUAAAGUUGUUGCAGUUAAGAAGCUCGUAGUUGAAUUUCGGGGUCAGUGGGUCGGUCGUGCCAAUGGUAUGUACUGGCCCUACUGAUUCCUCCUUCUUGAAGAACUGUAAUGCCAUUAAUUUGGUGUUGCAGGGAAACAGGACUGUUACUUUGAAAAAAUUAGAGUGUUUAAAGCAGGCAAUCGCUUGAAUACAUUAGCAUGGAAUAAUGAAAUAGGACGUUCGAUCCUAUUUUGUUGGUUUCUAGGAUUGACGUAAUGAUUAAUAGGGAUAGUUGGGGGCAUUAGUAUUCAAUUGUCAGAGGUGAAAUUCUUGGAUUUAUUGAAGACUAACUACUGCGAAAGCAUUUGCCAAGGAUGUUUUCAUUAAUCAAGAACGAAAGUUGGGGGCUCGAAGACGAUCAGAUACCGUCCUAGUCUCAACCAUAAACGAUGCCGACCAGGGAUCGGCGGAUGUUAACUUUUCUUGACUCG